rnacentral:lncRNA from 10 species
GUGACCUUUAUGGCGGCGCCUUCUGUCCCUGGUCGCUUUUCCACUGAAUGAAUGACCGAAACUGUAGUAACUCAUGGCCAGGGAAUGGCUUAGUUAUCUGAGGGAAUCUUGUCUUGUCUGUGAAAAAGGGAAACUGGUGCAAAUGGGAAUUCAGACAGGUCAGGAGGGGAAGGAAGGGAAGGAUUGAGGUGGGAAAAGAGAGAGAAAGAUGAUUGUCCUCUUAGGGGAAGAACACACUUGGACGUGGCUCCUGGGGCACUUCCUUGAUUCCGCUGUACUCCUCAGCGGGACCGGAGAGGCGGAGGUUCCAGGAGGGAGCCUUCCAGAGUCGGUGCAGGGUUGACAGGAGACGUUUGUUUUGCUUUUCCUGAACUUUCGAUCGCCAGCUUGUUUGGUCUUCUUGAUGUUAUAGGGUUGAUAGAGAGGAGUGGAGUGAUAUCGGACACCCAGCUUCAGCAAGCUCUCUCCAAGGGAUGAAGCCCCACCCGCCCUUCAGGAUGCCAGCCUUGGCAACAUU